rnacentral:tRNA from 1 species
GCCCCCGUAGCCCAAUCGGCAGAGGCAGCCCACUUAAAAUGGGCACAGUGCGGGUUCGAGUCCCGCCGGGGGCACCA